ensembl:lncRNA
UUUUCUUAAAACAGUGGUGUAGUAUUCAUAAAAGAUGUUCAAACCUCCAACACUUCUGUGUUUAAAUAGGUGUUUGCAAUAUCAGCAUUCCUGGUAGAAUAAACUGCAUCUUCCUGGUGUAUUGGCACAGUGCAAAGGCUGAAGUUAAAGGCAGCUCAGACUCACUUUGCAUUGUGUCCCACCACUCCUUGUGUUUUUCCAUCCUUCUGUAUUUUUCCAUCCUUGUGCACACUCCAAAGUUCAAAAUAUGGCAGGAGAGGGUUGAUGCUGUGGAGAGACUCGCUUUCUCUUAUUGUUUAAAGCUGCAUCUUCCAUGGAAGCAGCACUUCGCCAUCAGCAGGUCAUGCAGUUCGUAUCUCAUAUGAAGCAGUCCACAAUUUGAUGAAUGAAAAAUAAGUCAGAUAUUUUUUGUAUCAGAGAAAUUUCCAGAAUAUAAAUAAAUAAACAAACAAACAAAAAGCAACGCAGCUCUUUCUGUUGAUCUCUAAUCUGAAAUGCUUUUGAUCAAUUCAAGUAUUCUUUAUGGGACUAGCUUUAUUGCUAUCCAUAUGGGCAUUGCUAGGGAGUUAGUGGGCAGAUCCACGAUUUCCUAGCAUUUGGAAAAAGCCAGAAAAGUUGCUUCUAGUCAUUUCUGAGCAGUUUUAUGUUAUCUAACUUUUCUGCACUUGGGAAUAAGUUGGAGACCUCCAGCUCAUUUUGAAAACAGUAAUUUAUAGCUGCACAGGCAUUAUGAUUUUACAGUGUUUUGAUAGUUACGCCUUCACUAUCCAAAUGGAACAUUUAAAAACAGAUUAGAAACCAUUAGUCUUGGAAAUAUGAGGUGUUCUCAACCUAAAGAGGAAGUCAGUGUGUUUAUAGGCUAAUUGUCUUUCCACACCUAGGCGUACAGUUUUACUAACAUAUCAUAUUCUAUUCUAGGAACAGGUCAAUUUAUCCAUAAAUAACCAUACUGGGGUAAAAGUGGUAGAUUAUAAAUCAGGAUCCGAAUACUUUGCCGUAGGUACUCCUAUUGACUUCAAACACAUUUAGAUUGGAAACCACUUUAAGCAUGUAUCUUAUUAUAAUAUCCACCAUAUUUAAUUGUCAUAUGUAAUUUCACCCUUCAGACACAAUAAUAAUUAUAAAUACAGCCUCCUGCUUCAUGAGAAGUCUUCCAAAUUAAAUUUAAAUACCUUACAGAUCAAGUUAAAUAAAAUCAUUGUACUUUCUACACCUAUGCCUUGACAUAUAGGAGAGAUCUACUCAAUCAGUAGGUGGUUAACUCCACAAGAGGCUGACCUCAAAUGCUAGGUUCAAAUAUGCUUAUGCUCUGAUGAAUGUCAGGUCCAAGCCCCAAUCUGGAUCCCAAACUUGUGGUAUAUAGGCCCAUCUGUACUUGAAAGCAACGUUUUGAAGAAAGGAAAGCUAAGAUCAUGAAAAUCUCUGUUUGAGUACUGCAAACAAACAGAUUUAUGGACCUAAGGAACUCCUUCUUUUCCUUGCAUAAAAUCAAAACUACCACAGGAUUUCCCGUCCAUAUAUACCAUCUGCUUUUUCCAACUUUGUUUAAAAUUCUUAUUGUCACAAUACUCCAAACCUUCAGAGCAUCUGCCAUUUCUACAAGCAUUAUCUACUCUGCAAGCGAGGCUGUAGUCAAGAAUUAUUUUUACUAGAGAAAGUGAUUUUAUCUAUUUACUUUCUGCAGUAUGGUUCUGGCUGGUGAAAGCAUUGUACACAAUGAAAUUCUUGGGCAACAGCCUGAAAUAUGAUUAAUACUCUUAAAUGACAAGUGAGUUUAUUUCAUUGUAACAGACUGUAUAUGCCAGGUCAAGACACAUGCAAAACCAAGUCCCACACACUGUCA